rnacentral:rRNA from 1 species
GAUGAACGCUGGCGGCGUGCUUAACACAUGCAAGUCGAACGAUGAACCGGGUGCUUGCACUCGGGGAUUAGUGGCGAACGGGUGAGUAACACGUGAGCAACCUGCCCCUGACUCUGGGAUAAGCGCUGGAAACGGCGUCUAAUACUGGAUAUGUCCCGUCACCGCGUGGUGUGCGGGUGGAAAGAUUUUUCGGUUGGGGAUGGGCUCGGGGCCUAUCAGCUUGUUGGUGGGGGAAUGGCUCACCAAGGCGUCGACGGGUAGCCGGCCUGUGAGGGUGACCGGCCAGACUGGGACUGAGACACGGCCCAGACUCCUACGGGAGGCAGCAGUGGGGAAUAUUGCACAAUGGGCGGAAGCCUGAUGCAGCAACGCCGCGUGAGGGAUGACGGCCUUCGGGUUGUAAACCUCUUUUAGUAGGGAAGAAGCGAAAGUGACGGUACCUGCAGAAAAAGCACCGGCUAACUACGUGCCAGCCGCCGCCGUAA